rnacentral:rRNA from 1 species
UACAGGGGGGGCAAGCGUUGUUCGGAAUUACUGGGCGUAAAGGGCUCGUAGGCGGCCAACUAAGUCACACGUGAAAUCCCCAGGCUUAACCUGGGAACUGCGUGUGAUACUGGAUGGCUUGAAUCCGGGAGAGGGAUGCGGAAUUCCAGGUGUAGCGGUGAAAUGCGUAGAUAUCGGGAGGAACACCGGUGGCGAAGGCGGCGAUCUGGGUCGAUACUGACGCUGAGGUGCGAAAGCGUGGGGAGCAAACAGG